AGAACGAACGCUGGCGGCGCGCCUAAUACAUGCAAGUCGAGCGAGAAGACGUAGCAAUACGGUUUGUAAAGCGGCGAACGGGUGAGGAAUACAUGGGUAACCUACCCUCGAGUCGGGGAAUAACUAGCCGAAAGGUUAGCUAAUACCGCGUACGCUCCUUGGACUUCGGUUCAGGGAGGAAAGCGAUACCCGUGGGUAUCGCGCUCUUGGAUGGGCUCAUGUCCUAUCAGACUUGUUGGUGAGGAACGGCUCACCAAGGCUUCGACGGGUAGCUGGUCUGAGAGGACGAUCAGCCACACUGGCACUGCGACACGGGCCAGACUCCUACGGGAGCAGCAGUAAGGAAUAUGCGCAAUGGGCGAAAGCCUGACGCAGCGACGCCGCGUGGGGGA
rnacentral:rRNA from 1 species